UCAACACAGACAGGCAGCUGUGUAGUAAAUCAUAGGGUUAGAAGCUGGGGAAAUGCUUAACAGGAGUCGGCAGGUCCGAGUGCCAUGCGGAACCUAAGGCUCUGCCCCGUGGUUUGCGGUCCCUUUUUACAGUGUUGGAGAAGCUGGCUUUUGUGUCUGCACUUGCAUAUCCCCACAACUUCAAAGUUCUUUGGGUAGUGUGGGAGGAUGCAGGAAACCAUGCAGGAAAGUUCU
rnacentral:snoRNA from 1 species